GUGCCAGCCGCCGCGGUAAUACAGAGGGUGCAAGCGUUAUUCGGAUUCACUGGGCGUAAAGGGCGCGUAGGUGGUUUAGCAAGUUUGAUGUGAAAGCCCCGGGCUCAACUCGGGAAGUGCAUCGAAUACUGCUAGGCUAGAGCAUGGGAGAGGAGGAUGGAACUCCAGGUGUAGAGGUGAAAUUCGUAGAUAUCUGGAAGAACAACAGAAGCGAAGGCGAUUCUCUGGACCAUUGCUGACACUGAGGCGCGAAAGCGUGGGGAGCAAACAGGAUUAGAUACCCCCGUAGUCC
rnacentral:rRNA from 1 species